GGGAGAGGCCUUAUGAGUGCAGUGAAUGUGGGAAGUUCUUUCCCUACAGCUCCAGCCUCCGAAAACACCAGAGAGUUCACACUGGAUCAAGGCCCUAUGAGUGCAGUGAAUGUGGGAAAUCCUUUACUCAAAAUUCUGGCCUUAUUAAGCACAGGAGGGUUCACACUGGGGAGAAGCCUUAUGAGUGCACUGAAUGUGGGAAAUCCUUUAGCCAUAACUCCAGCCUUAUUAAACACCGGAAAAUUCAUAGUCGAUAAAAGCCUUAUGACUGGCAAGUAUGGAAAAUCUGUUAGCACCCUGGAGAAAGUCCUUGAGUACAGUUAAUGUUAGAAAGCUUCAACUGAAGGCUGCAUCUCAUUGAGUACCACAGAGUUCACAAGGGAAAGACACUUUUGAUAUGUGGAGAUGUCCAGUUGCUAUAACAGCUCUGAAGGGGAUCCCUUAUGAGGGUGGCAUCAGCCUGAAUUGAAUCUCCUAUAUCUGAACAUCUCCAUAAAUUCCAGGUAUGUGGGAGCUGCACUGCACCUUUUGCCCUGCCCAGGGCCCAUGCCAGAUUUAUGUCUGCUGAUUCUGUAGUGAGAGCCAUUUUACCUCUACUGCCUGGCUGGUGGUCACAGUGUACACCAUUCACCCACCACAGUGUAUUCAGGCCAUGGACCUGAUCCAGUUUGGCCCAGAGGACUCUAUGGGUGACCUGAAAAGAGGGACUACCUAUUUCAGGAUAUUGUUGACCUCACAUGACUCUUGAUAUAGUUUGCCAGCCUCCAAAUCACCAACUGUGGGAGCCACCUGCCUCUUAUUGCCCUGGUUUGUACAGUAAUAAAGGCCUUACUAAUCUUGGGGGUUCUAGUCACUGUAUGGGUUGGUUUGAAAACAACUGGGUUCUGCUAACAUGAAGGGGUAACUUUUUGGGAUUCCCAACUGUGUGGCUCAACAGGGACAGGGACAGUGGGAUGGCAGAAUAGAAUUCUCUUUCUAGUUUGAGCCUAGUUUUCAUUGCCAUUCAAGGCCUCCAAGAAAAAACUGCAGGAUAUUGACCUAAUUUAUAUCCUGGAUGCCAUAAUAUGCUGUGGUUUCAGAGGUCAAUCUAAGUAGGCAGCAAUCCUAUGACAUCCUUUGGUGCUUCUGAAAGCAACAGGAAAUUGUUCUCUUGUUUGUAAGGAAUAUUGCAUUGUGUUCAGUGCUGUUGGGGAAUAUCUGUUCCCCAGGUUCUAUAUGCCUUGAUAUCCUGAAUUCCAUAGGGUAGCACCACAGGUGGUAAGAUUAUAGCAGGAAUUGUAAUUGUUAUAGAAGUUCUAGAUUGGUAUGGAGUGGAAAACUGCAAUAAAUAGAAUGUGCCCCUUUAACAGAGGUUUC